GAUCCUGGCUCAGGACGAACGCUGGCGGCGUGCUUAACGCAUGCAAGUUGAGCGGGAAACUUCGGUUUCCAGCGGCGGACGGGUGAGUAACACGUGGGCAACCUGCCUCACAAUGAGGGAUAGCCUUCCGAAAGGAAGAUUAAUACCUCAUAACACAAGAGAAACGCAUGUUUCUCUUGCCAAAGAAUUUCGUUGUGAGAUGGGCCCGCGGCGCAUUAGCUAGUUGGUGAGGUAACGGCUCACCAAGGCUUCGAUGCGUAGCCGACCUGAGAGGGUGAUCGGCCACAUUGGAACUGAGACACGGUCCAGACUCCUACGGGAGGCAGCAGUGGGGAAUAUUGCACAAUGGAGGAAACUCUGAUGCAGCAACGCCGCGUGAGUG
rnacentral:rRNA from 1 species